rnacentral:rRNA from 1 species
CUACGGGACGCAGCAGUGAGGAAUAUUGCACAAUGGGGGAAACCCUGAUGCAGCAACGCCGCGUGGAGGAUGACGCAUUUCGGUGUGUAAACUCCUUUUAUGAGUCAAGAAAAUGACGGUAGCUCAUGAAUAAGCACCGGCUAACUCCGUGCCAGCAGCCGCGGUAAUACGGAGGGUGCAAGCGUUACUCGGAAUCACUGGGCGUAAAGGACGCGUAGGCUGGUUGUCAAGUCAGAUGUGAAAUCCUACAGCUUAACUGUAGAACUGCAUUUGAAACUGGCAACCUAGAGUAUGGGAGGGGGAGAUGGAAUUAGUGGUGUAGGGGUAAAAUCCGUAGAUAUCACUAGGAAUACCGAAAGCGAAGGCGAUCUCCUGGAACAUUACUGACGCUAAGGCGUGAAAGCGUGGGGAGCAAACGGGAUUAGAUACCCGGGUAGUC